ACUCCUGCGGGAGGCAGCAGUGGGGAAUAUUGCACAAUGGGCGCAAGCCUGAUGCAGCCAUGCCGCGUGUAUGAAGAAGGCCUUCGGGUUGUAAAGUACUUUCAGCGGGGAGGAAGGCGAUAAGGUUAAUAACCUUGUCGAUUGACGUUACCCGCAGAAGAAGCACCGGCUAACUCCGUGCCAGCAGCCGCGGUAAUACGGAGGGUGCAAGCGUUAAUCGGAAUUACUGGGCGUAAAGCGCACGCAGGCGGUCUGUUAAGUCGGAUGUGAAAUCCCCGGGCUCAACCUGGGAACUGCAUUCGAAACUGGCAGGCUAGAGUCUUGUAGAGGGGGGUAGAAUUCCAGGUGUAGCGGUGAAAUGCGUAGAGAUCUGGAGGAAUACCGGUGGCGAAGGCGGCCCCCUGGACAAAGACUGACGCUCAGGUGCGAAAGCGCGGGGAGCAAACAGGAUUAGAAACCCCUGUAGUCCCAUGAU
rnacentral:rRNA from 1 species